rnacentral:rRNA from 1 species
AUGCGUCCGCCCACGACGCCACCGGCUGGCCCGGCAUGGAACAACAAGGUGAUCAGGGUGGAGCAGAGCAAGGCCAUCAUCGCGCACCCAGGCCACGUCGUGCCCAUGCCGGCGAGGGCCGACCGCAUGCUGCUCCUCCUCAACACCCAGAACAGGAUUGAUGGCCACAUCAAGUGGACCAUCAAUGGCAUGUCCCUCUCCCUCAUGUUCCCGGCCACGCCAUACCUGCUGGCGAUGAAGCGCGGCAUGAAAGACGCGUACGAACAGCGUCCCCCGCCCGACAUGUACGACAACAUGAGCCACGACAUCUCCGAGCCGGCGCCGACGAACAGGACCGUGGGCAGCCCGGUGUACCGGCUGGCGCUCGGCUCCGUCGUGGACGUGGUGCUGCAAUACUCCGACGCGCUCAACAACAAGAGCGAGACGCACCCGUGGCAUCUCCAUGAGUAUUUACCUUGUACACGAAAAAAGAUCGACUGUAUGAAAAAGAAAGACUGUAUGUACCUUGUACACUAG